rnacentral:rRNA from 1 species
CCUACGGGGGGCAGCAGUGGGGAAUAUUGCACAAUGGGGGAAACCCUGAUGCAGCGACGCCGCGUGAGUGAAGAAGGAUUUCGGGAGGGAAAGCUCUAUCAGCAGGGAAGAGAAUGACGGUACCUGAGUAAGAAGCCCCGGCUAACGACGUGCCAGCAGCCGCGGUAAGACGAAGGGGGCAAGCGUUAUCCGGAUUUACUGGGGGUAAAGGGCGCGGAGACGGCGAAGAAAGUCUGAGGUGAAAGCCCGCGGCUCAACCGCGGAACUGCUUGGGAAACUUUUUUGCUGGAGUACCGGAGAGGUAAGCGGAAUUCCUAGUGUAGCGGUGAAAUGCGUAGAUAUUAGGAGGAACCCCAGUGGCGAAGGCGGCUUACUGGACGGUAACUGACGUUGAGGCUCGAAAGCGUGGGGAGCAAACAGGAUUAGCUACCCGGGUAGUC